AUUCGGGCUUCUCAUGGUCUGUUAGUUCCAGUGAAUAAGGCGUGGUUUCACACUUUCCCCCAAAAAAAAUUAUGGAGAAAAAAAACAAAAAACAAAUCUUAUCUGCUUACUCUAACUGUGCAGUAUCACCUCGCAUGCCUUCGUGUGUGUACUUCACCCACAGACCACAGCAAACCCUGGGGUUACUGCAGGCUGCAUCCCGCUCAUUUCCUGGUUUGUUAUAAUGUUACAGUUCAGGGAAGUGGACACACGCUCUUGUUACAGCAGAAGUCCUCAUCAUCAGCGACGUGUGGAUCAUCUCAUACUGUUUCUUAGCUAGACUUUUUUAUUUUUAUUAUUUACCACAAAUCCACACACGUCCUGUUCUAUGUGCUGUUCGACCAAACCUGAUGUUUUCUGCUCCUUCCUCUUUAAAACAACUUCUCCACCUCAGCAGAUAAACACUGAAGACCUGCAUGUACUUUUCUGAGUAUUUCACUGAGCAUUUAUUUCAAGGUUUUCAGAGAUGGAAGGCUCCGAAAGCGCAAUAAACAGAGUUGGUCGUGCUAUGUGGACUGUUUGGGUCUGGCUGCUGGUUUCCCUGCACUGAGAAAAACUGAAGCUGGAAGAAAAAUAAGAGAUGGAGAGGAUUCAGAGAGUGUAACAUCACAGAAAUCCGACUCAGGCUCACAGUCAGCAGAGGAUAAUGUCAAGCAAGAGACAUCGCCUCCCAAACCAAAAUGGACACCACCAAGACAACCUGGGAUGGGCAGCCCCCUGAUGAUGGCAGAGCUGAAGAGCAAACUCAAAAAACCUACAAAAGAGUAAAAGAAAUUUACCAGAGGAUGAAUUAUGUUUAUUAUCUGUGCAGUGUAUAUAAAUUAGUGUUUAAAUGAGAUAUAAUGUAUGUUAAUAAUUAAAAUAUUUGUUUAAAAUGAGACCUUGCUGCGAUACAAGUUUUUAUUAUGAUCAGACAGAUAGACAGAUAGAUGAGCAGCAAGUUGUUUUUCCCUCUCUAUUUUCUGAAUGUAGGCAUUCUUGUUACUCUAGCAGAAAAAUCACAUUACAUCAAUGGAAAUCUCUUUUUAACAUCUGUUACAUCAUGAAAUAAUCCAAAUGGGGGAAAAAAUUGUGUAAUAGUUCAAGGGGUGAAUACUUAUGUAAUCCACUGUAGAUAGGCAGAUAUAGUAAAAGUUCAUUGAAGUACACACAGCUUAUAGAUCAUGAUUAAAUAGAUCUAGUAACAGGACGUGUCGGACAAAGUCCACCAGCAGUCCACACACACUUUCUCGCUAUAGUAUAAACUGGUUUGCUGGCUUUUUGAAGUGAUGUGUCGUCCUGGAACGAGUCGGUUCUUUUGGAUCAACGUUGAGAGCCGACUCGCAAAUGAAUCGUUUGGAUUUUUUAAACUGUAUUUUUAUUAUUAUUAUUAUUAUUAUUAUUAUUAUUAUUAUUAUUAUUUUAAAUAUGUAUUGUUUAAAUAAACUCGGACUACUUUUUACAAUAUCUGAUUUGUUCUUGAAUGGCGAGAAAGCCUUGAAAAGCCUCUUGAGGUGUUUGAGGCAGCAAAGCAACUGUU
ensembl:lncRNA